rnacentral:lncRNA from 1 species
CCUGCCUCUAGGCUUGCGGAACCAACUGCUGGGAGGCAGCUGGGUUUGCAGAGAGGCCGGUGGUCAGCAGCACCUGUGAGGCUAUCAGUCCCUUCUUGGAACGGUUCUUCAAAAUUUACAGUAUGGAAAGCCCAGCGGUGAUGUUCAAGCCUCUACUGAGAAAACAGCAAGGGCUUUGGAUCAGGACAGACCUGGCAUCCCCCAGAGGAAGAAAAUAGAUUCCAGACCUGCUGCUAAUCCUCUCCUUCCCAACUUCCUAAGCCAUUCUUCUCAGUGACAAUUCGAGUGCUACUGCUUGGUGUCACAUCAUUAUAAUCAUGUGAACAAGACCUCAUGAUGCUAUAGUUGCUGCUGGCAGCCAUCUUGUGACCAAAACAAGAAGGGCUUUUAGGAUAAAGGAAACACUCUAGACAGCAGAGGAGAAAGACAAAAACAUCUGUAUCCCUGAUGUCAUAGCUUGAGCCAUGGAAUCAAAUCACCCUGCAGUUGGCUGUUGUACUUCUUGCUAUGUGAAAUAAUACAGUUCCUUAUUGUUUAA